UACGAAACAAAAAUCUGGUCAUAUUUUGCACCACGUGUACAGGGACGUUGCACGUAGUCCAUGGGGUCAGGGCCUCACGAAACUUUUUCAACGACGUGCAUUUUUAUUUUUAAAUCAAACUAAUAUACCCAAUAACAAUAUGUUAUUUUCUGAAAAUGGAACCCGUUCCACACCGAAAUGAAAUUCUGGCUACGCGCCUGCGUGGGUAGACCUCUGUAGUGGGCGGAUAAUUAGAAAGUUAUAGGAUUUAAGGUAAUUUAGUGUAUAAUAUAUCGAAAGCAACGA